GCCGCGCAGGAUGGAUGCGUUACCUGGGAGGUGGGUGCUGGGCCCUGGCCAUAGGCUGUUGCUUCCCAAGGGAAACGAGCUCACCUCUCUACUGGAGCAGGAAAGGUAGCCUUGGGAUGAGAAGAGACGGUCCAGGUUUCCCUGUGUGGUAUUGCUGUACUGAGCCCCUUUCCUGGGCCCAUUUCUUCUUGGGAGUGGGAUGGCUUUAGUAACAUUCCCACCUUUUGUUCAUCUUUUCCCGGAUGACAGGGUGUCCAGGAAAAAACAGAGGAAGCAAAAGAGGAGAAAAAUUUGGACACAGAAGGCCAUGUGACAACAGAAGCAGAGAUGGGAACAACGCAGCGGCAAGCCAAAGAUUGCUGUCAACCAUCACAGCCAGGAAGAGGCCAGGAGGGAUUCUUCCUUGGCCACCUCAGAGAGAGCAUGGUUUUGACAGCAUCUUGAUUUUGACUUCUUGCCUCCAAAACUGAGAAAAUUAAUUUUUUUACAUGAUGUAAAAAAAAAAUGGGAAUUUUGGAGCUAAAAGUUCUUAACUGAAUUUAAGAACAUAACUAUAUUUUACAAAAACUUAGCUGAAGAGAAUGACUGAAUUGGGAGAUAGAUAAUAUGGAAUAUCAAGAUAAUAUAAGAAGGAAAAUGCAUUAAAUAAAACUCAGCAUUUACUAA